UGAGCACUCCUACGGGAGGCAGCAGUGGGGAAUAUUGCACAAUGGGCGCAAGCCUGAUGCAGCCAUGCCGCGUGUAUGAAGAAGGCCUUCGGGUUGUAAAGUACUUUCAGCAGUGAGGAAGGUGGGUAUGUUAAUAGCAUAUUCAUUUGACGUUAGCUGCAGAAGAAGCACCGGCUAACUCCGUGCCAGCAGCCGCGGUAAUACGGAGGGUGCGAGCGUUAAUCGGAAUUACUGGGCGUAAAGCGCAUGCAGGUGGUUUGUUAAGUCAGAUGUGAAAGCCCGGGGCUCAACCUCGGAAUUGCAUUUGAAACUGGCAAACUAGAGUACUGUAGAGGGGGUAGAAUUUCAGGUGUAGCGGUGAAAUGCGUAGAGAUCUGAAGGAAUACCGGUGGCGAAGGCGGCCCCCUGGACAGAUACUGACACUCAGAUGCGAAAGCGUGGGGAGCAAACAGGAUUAGAUACCCUGGUAG
rnacentral:rRNA from 1 species